AACAGGAUUAGAUACCCUGGUAGUCCACGCCGUAAACGAUGUCGACUUGGAGGUUGUGCCCUUGAGGCGUGGCUUCCGGAGCUAACGCGUUAAGUCGACCGCCUGGGGAGUACGGCCGCAAGGUUAAAACUCAAAUGAAUUGACGGGGGCCCGCGCAAGCGGUGGAGCAUGUGGUUUAAUUCGAUGCAACGCGAAGAACCUUACCUACUCUUGACAUCCAGAGAACUUAGCAGAGAUGCUUUGGUGCCUUCGGGAACUCUGAGACAGGUGCUGCAUGGCUGUCGUCAGCUCGUGUUGUGAAAUGUUGGGUUAAGUCCCGCAACGAGCGCAACCCUUAUCCUUUGUUGCCAGCGGUUAGGCCGGGAACUCAAAGGAGACUGCCAGUGAUAAACUGGAGGAAGGUGGGGAUGACGUCAAGUCAUCAUGGCCCUUACGAGUAGGGCUACACACGUGCUACAAUGGCGCAUACAAAGAGAAGCGACCUCGCGAGAGCAAGCGGACCUCAUAAAGUGCGUCGUAGUCCGGAUUGGAGUCUGCAACUCGACUCCAUGAAGUCGGAAUCGCUAGUAAUCGUGGAUCAGAAUGCCACGGUGAAUACGUUCCCGGGCCUUGUACACACCGCCCGUCACACCAUGGGAGUGGGUUGCAAAAGAAGUAGGUAGCUUAACCUUCGGGAGGGCGCUUACCACUUUGUGAUUCAUGACUGGGGUGAAGUCGUAACAAGGUAACC
rnacentral:rRNA from 1 species